rnacentral:rRNA from 1 species
UACGGAGGGUGCAAGCGUUAUCCGGAUUCACUGGGUUUAAAGGGUGCGUAGGCGGUCAGGUAAGUCAGCGGUGAAAUCUCCAAGCUUAACUUGGAAACUGCCGUUGAUACUAUCUGUCUUGAAUACCGUGGAGGUGAGCGGAAUAUGUCAUGUAGCGGUGAAAUGCUUAGAUAUGACAUAGAACACCAGUGGCGAAGGCAGCUCACUACACAAUCAUUGACGCUGAGGCACGAAAGCGUGGGGAUCAAACAGG